GACAGAGGGGGCAAGCGUUGCUCGGAAUUACUGGGCGUAAAGGGCGCGUAGGCGGGAUGGCAAGUCGGUCGUGAAAUCCUUCGGCUCAACCGAAGAACGUCGAUCGAUACUGCUGUUCUUGAGGGUUGCAGAGGAGACUGGAAUUCCCGGUGUAGCGGUGAAAUGCGCAGAGAUCGGGAGGAACACCCGUAGCGAAGGCGGCACUCUGGGCCGGUACUGACGCUGAGGAGCGAAAGCGUGGGGAGCAAACAGG
rnacentral:rRNA from 1 species